AUUGAACGCUGGCGGCAGGCUUAACACAUGCAAGUCGAACGUGUGGCGGACGGGAGAGUAAUGCUGGGGACUCUGGCUUAUGGAGUGGGUUCACUAAGGGACACUGUAGCCAAUACCGCGUACCAUAGGAAGAGCGAAAGGGGGUGUAGGUGGUUGGUGAGGUAAAGGCUCACCAAGCCGACGAUCUCUAGCUGGUCUGAGAGGAUGACCAGCCACACUGGAACGGAGACACGGCCCAGCCUCCUACGGGAGGCAGCAGUGGGGAAUAUUGCGCAAUGGGGGCAACCUGACGCAGCGAUGCCGCGUGAAUGAAGAAGGCCUUCGGGUUGUAAAGUUCUUUCGGUAGCGAGGCGUUAACUACAGAAGAAGCACCGGCUAACUCCGUGCCAGCAGCCGCGGUAAUUC
rnacentral:rRNA from 1 species